UGCCUCAAUCUCAGAUGUCAUAGCUCAGGUUGUUUUUGUAGCCAUUUUGCUUCACAGUCACCUGGAAUGCCGGGAGCCCCUGCUCAUCCCGAUCCUCUCCUUGUACAUGGGCGCGCUUGUGCGCUGCACCACCCUGUGCCUGGGCUACUACAAGAACAUUCACGACAUCAUCCCUGACAGAAGUGGCCCGGAGCUGGGGGGAGAUGCAACAAUAAGAAAGAUGCUGAGCUUCUGGUGGCCUUUGGCUCUAAUUCUGGCCACACAGAGAAUCAGUCGGCCUAUUGUCAACCUCUUUGUUUCCCGGGACCUUGGUGGCAGUUCUGCAGCCACAGAGGCAGUGGCGAUUUUGACAGCCACAUACCCUGUGGGUCACAUGCCAUACGGCUGGUUGACGGAAAUCCGUGCUGUGUAUCCUGCUUUCGACAAGAAUAACCCCAGCAACAAACUGGUGAGCACGAGCAACACAGUCACGGCGGCCCACAUCAAGAAGUUCACCUUCGUCUGCAUGGCUCUGUCACUCACGGCAUUGAGCCCCUGCGGGAUCCCAGGCCCAUCUGUCUGCUGAGGAUACAGCUGUGAGCAAGCGUGUGUGACACUGUGUCAGCAGCAA
rnacentral:sRNA from 1 species